rnacentral:rRNA from 1 species
AUUGAACGCUGGCGGCAGGCCUAACACAUGCAAGUCGGACGGUAGCACAGAGGAGCUUGCUCCUCGGGUGACGAGUGGCGGACGGGUGAGUAAUGUCUGGGGAUCUGCCCGAUAGAGGGGGAUAACCACUGGAAACGGUGGCUAAUACCGUAUAACGUCGCAAGACCAAAGAGGGGGACCUUCGGGCCUCUCACUAUCGGAUGAACCCAGAUGGGAUUAGCUAGGAGGCGGGGUAACGGCCCACCUAGGCGACGAUCCCUAGCUGGUCUGAGAGGAUGACCAGCCACACUGGAACUGAGACACGGGCCAGACUCCUACGGGAGGCAGCAGUGGGGAAUAUUGCACAAUGGGCGCAAGCCUGAUGCAGCCAUGCCGCGUGUAUGAAGAAGGCCUUCGGGUUGUAAAGUACUUUCAGCGGGGAGGAAGGCGAUGUGGUUAAUAACCGCAUUGAUUGACGUUACCCGCAGAAGAAGCACCGGCUAACUCCGUGCCAGCCGCCGCCGUAA